rnacentral:tRNA from 1 species
GAUAAAGAAAGGGUUAAACCUCUGUGGGUAGGGCUACAACCUACCGCCUGCCUCGGCCGCUUUACC